rnacentral:lncRNA from 1 species
GACCACUUUUUAAACACUUAAGUGUCUAUUUCAUUUGAAUCAAUUAGUUUAUGUGAAAAAUUUUAACUGAUUUAGUCAUUAAAAACGAUCCGAUUCAAGCUCAAAUAUGAAAAAUCUACCAAAUAUGUAAAAAAAUGUCACAUUUCAGAUGGUUUUUUGUCAAAAAUGAAAGUGGCCGCAUCCGUGUUCAUCCUCAACCUUUAUAUAUGUUAUGUAUUAUCAUAAAAUACAACUUACAUUUCAAUAUUAA